rnacentral:lncRNA from 1 species
CCUAAAAACUUGGGAAAAAGGUCAAAAAAAUAUUCUUUUACUAUUGUUCCUCUAACCCUAACACAAAAUUUACAAAAUUACCUCUAACCCUAACGUCCAUCCACUAUGACCCUUUUUAUAUUUUAUUCAUGUCAGCAGUAUCAUAUCAGAUGGGAAGUAAUUUAAUCCUCAAAUAAAAUUGAAAGAAUUUUGAACUAAUUGUACAUACUGUAAUUGCCCAUCAGAGCAUUGGAACCCCUCAAUUAAAAAUGCCACAUAAUUAACCUCACCACCUCCAACAUCUCCCUUCCCCUUCAAUUUCUUCUUCCAUCGACAGCUUCACCACCCAAAAGCCUCAAUAUUUCACCACAAAAUAGCUUCAAACCUUAAUUUAAUCAACACUUUUCAGCCUCAAAGUUAUAUUCAAGUAACAUAAAAUAAACUUCAACAGCUUCUGAAGAACAUGAUAGACCCAUUAGGUAUUCUUCGCGUUUUUCCAAAUCCUUUGUAUGGUGAUUUUAGUCUCCUUUCAAAUACAUCUCCCAAAUCAGUACUAACCAGCCACCAUUAAUUGAUAGACCCACCUUAUUCACAUAAAUCCCCCACCGUAUCUCCUCUAUUUUUUUCACAUUCUCAUCCAUAGUAAAAUCAAACAGAAUAAAAUGAAGGACAAACCAAAAGAAAGUAUAGACCCUCAUAUCAGAGUGACUCUUUUGGCAGUGACUAUAGCUUCUUAUUUUUAUGAAUGAGAUUGAAAAGAGGUGGUAGUGAGAGGUUUUUCAUAUGAAGAUUUGGAUAAAGCGUACAAUAGCAGAUGAAUCUCCUCCGGCAAAGAUGCCGAUGAAGAUUAAGAAAUCAACAAGCUCAAAUCACAAACAAACCCAGCUAAAAAUUUCGCUCAAACGUCAAUGAAUCUCAAUACAUUUAUAUUCUCAAGAUUUCUUUACAAAUUCUUCAAUGAUGCCAUGAGAGCAAUCAAGCAAGAUAUGAAGAGAAGAAACAUUUUUUAUGCCAAAAAAUGGGUGUUUGCCAAUAAGAUCUGACAUGGCUGCAUUGAGUAACGUUACGGUAGUAAUACUUUGAUGGCUUUUAAUCUUAUCGACAAUUUUUAUGUGUGAGUUGAUUUGAAUUUAUAUUCGGAGAACGGGGUUAUUGUUUGAAUGACGAAACAUGAAGAAGGAGAAAGGAGAUAAAUAGGGGAGCCAGUACCAUGGAAGUUAGUUCUGUCCGUUAAAAAUUUCCCGGCGAAAUGCCAUAGUUUCCGGCGAUUUUAGUAUGGGGUGAGGGAGAGAAGAUGAGAGAAAGGGGGGAGAGAGAGG